AAUCAACGCUGGCGGCGUGCCUAACACAUGCAAGUCGAACGGGAAAGUGGAGCAAUCCAUGAGUAAAGUGGCGCACGGGUGAGUAACACGUGACUAACCUACCCUUGAGUGGGGGAUAACCUAGGGAAACCUGGGCUAAUACCGCAUAAUACCUACGGGUCAAAGGAGCAAUUCGCUUUAGAAGGGGGUCNCGGCAGAUUAGUUAGUUGGCGGGGUAAUGGCCCACCAAGACGAUGAUCUGAUCCGGCCUGAGAGGGCGCACGGACACACUGGAACUGAAACACGGUCCAGACUCCUACGGGAGGCAGCAGUGGGGAAUUUUGCGCAAUGGGGGAAACCCUGACGCAGCAACGCCGCGUGGAGGAUGAAGACCCUUGGGUCUUAAACUCCUUUCGAUCGGGACGAUAAUGACGGUACCGGAAGAAGAAGCCCCGGCUAACUUCGUGCCAGCAGCCGCCGCGGUAAU
rnacentral:rRNA from 1 species